rnacentral:lncRNA from 1 species
CUGGGCAGAGGUUUGACUGGCAAGCAGCUCUGGGUGUACAUUUCAUCCAAGAGUCUCAUGGUGGUCGAAGGAGAUCCCCAGAUGCAAAAUCAAAGUUGCUUGGAUUUCCAUUUCUUCCCCAUCUAGGAAAAGGGCAAUGGAAUCAAAGCCUUUAAAAAAUGUAGUAAGAGAAAGACUCUCUAAUUGAUCAGAACCUUCUGGCAACCAGCACUUUGGCCCAUCUACUGAAAAAUACUUUAUCAGUGUCUUUAGUAAAGGCCCCCAAGAUGCACAAUACAUUUUUGGUUGUUGAAAUAGAGUGUCUUCUAAGUCAUCAAGUAAAAGAGAAAUUCUGCUCAGAAGACUUUUGGAUAGUACCCAACAUUUGGUGAGGCUUACUAUAUUACAUGCAUUACCUCGCUAAAUCACCACAUUAGAACACUUACAGGUUAUGACAAAACAAGAAGGCCC